UCAUGCAGGGGAUACUGUG
rnacentral:misc_RNA from 1 species